rnacentral:rRNA from 1 species
UACGUAGGGUGCGAGCGUUGUCCGGAAUUAUUGGGCGUAAAGAGCUCGCAGGCGGUUUGUUGCGUCGGCCGUGAAAACCUGCAGCUUAACUGUGGGCCUGCGGCCGAUACGGGCAGACUUGAGUUCGGUAGGGGAGACUGGAAUUCCUGGUGUAGCGGUGAAAUGCGCAGAUAUCAGGAGGAACACCGGUGGCGAAGGCGGGUCUCUGGGCCGAUACUGACGCUGAGGAGCGAAAGCGUGGGGAGCGAACAGG